CUGGGCCCUGUUUCGUAAUUCCUUCGCCAAGCCUUUUGAGGUUGAGAAGGAUUAUAUAUGUGCAUUGCCUCACACCUGGCCAAGACCCUGGGUUUGACAACUAGCACUCAACAGAAGGGGAGAAUCCUCAUCUGGUGAUGGAUAGAGAUA